rnacentral:rRNA from 1 species
CUUGAUGGUAGUGUAUUGGACUACCAUGGCGUUUACGGGUAACGGAGGAUUAGGGUUCGAUUCCGGAGAGGGAGCCUGAGAAACGGCUACCACAUCUAAGGAAGGCAGCAGGCGCGUAAAUUACCCAAUCCUGACUCAGGGAGGUAGUGACAAGAAAUAACGGACCGUUAGCCYUMGGGCGGCGGGACUGCAAUGAGCCGAAUUUACACCCCUUAGCGAGGACCAAUUGGAGGGCAAGUCUGGUGCCAGCAGCCGCGGUAAUUCCAGCUCCAAUAGCGUAUAUUAAAGUUGUUGCAGUUAAAAAGCUCGUAGUUGGAUUUCUGCCAGGGUGCCAAUGUCCGCCGAAGUGCGUGCGCAGCGGCGCCCUCGCAUCCUUCUGUUAACGCCUCUCGGCAUUCACUUGCCGGUGGUGGGCUCAGAUAAUUUACCUUGAGAAAAUUAGAGUGUUUCAGGCAGGCUAGGCCGGAAUACAUUAGCAUGGAAUAAUGGAAUAGGACUACGGUCUCGUUGUUGGUUUGAGGGACUGSAGUAAUGAUUAAUAGGGAUAGUUGGGGGCAUUAGUAUUUAAUUGUCAGAGGUGAAAUUCUCAGAUUUGUUAAAGACUAACUUAUGCGAAAGCAUUUGCCAAGGAUGUUUUCAUUAAUCAAGAACGAAAGUUAGGGGAUCAAAGACGAUCAGAUACCGUC